UUCAAGCCAAGCUGUAGUCAAUAAAGCGACCGUGCUGGAACUACGGGACUUGGAAAAUGCCUUACACCUUCUCCCUGGUUAACAAAAUUCCUUACCCGGACUUUGUUUUCGCAAACCAAUAAUAAAAGAGUCAAAUCUUCCUUUAAAUAGGGAUUCAAAUAAAUGGUGACUUGGAACACCCAAAAAAUCAAUUCCAAGUGGCGGCUCUGUAAAUAAAAUAAUCCCUACUCAAAUUUGUCACUUUAGUUGGAAAAACUCUUUAACCCACAAUAAUCCAUACACAUAUCUUUUGUGGGGGAAAAUGAGUUGUGACAGGAUUCAAGAGUCAUAGAAUUAUAGUCAAGAGUCGUAGAAUUACCUGAAACAUUUGUAAAUAGUUACAACCAAGAGUCAUAGAAUUACAGCUAAGACUCAUGGACUGCCAAAAAGAUAAAUUGCAAAUUAUAUUGCACUCUACAUAUGAAUUAUCACCAACAUUUUAAGAGUAGACACUACAGCCAAGAGUCAUAGAAAAUAAAUAAAAAGAGAAUAUAUUAAACUCUAAGAAGUUGGGCAUCUUAAACCAGAGGAGCAUAUUCCAGAAUGUUAGUAAAGGCUUGAUGGCCCAAAUUUCAGUCUUUGGGAGAUUCAAUGUAGUUCCAUCCUUUUCCUUGGGAUAAUCUUUUGUAAUGCCUGAAAUAUUUGUAAAUAAUCAAAUACUUUAGGUUCAAAAGUAAAGAAACUAAUAGAACCUCCUUUUAAUUACCUUUAAGUAGUCAAGAUUUCAAAAAUAGUCCUGGAGAAAAUUAUAGUUAACUAUCCCUCUAAUCAAUCCUCAAAGGUGAGUCUGGAUAUUCUGAAAUAAAAGAAAUAAUUAACAUAUUUAAUAUUAAGUAAUACACAAAAAUAACUAUAUUUAUUACUAAUCGAAGAUAAAUUAUUACCUUCUUCAACUUGCUCAAUUUUCUGGACUUCCUCCAACAUUUCUUCAAAUUUGUAUUCCUUGGAAGGUGAUCGUAUCCAUUGUUGAGUACAAAUAAGAGCUUCUACUAUUUUUGGUGAUAAAAAACUCCGAUAAGAAUCAAGAACUCGACCACCUGUACUAAAAGCCGACUCAGAUGCAACAUUAGAAAUAGAAAUAGAAAGAACAUCCCUUGCAAUAUUUGAAACUAUUGAAUAUUUACUAGAUUAAGCUUUCCACCAUGUCAAGAUAUUAAAAUUCCUGGUCUUCACCACAUUAUCCAUCAAGUAUAUCUCAAGAUCAAAGCAAAAGUCUGUAAUAAACAAUAAAAAAAUAGAGGAACACAAACUAAUUUAUUUUCAAUGCAAUACAGAAGUUCUGGUUUUCUUUCUUUCCUACUUUCUUUCUUUCUAAGGUUGAAAAACAAAUUAAAAGGUCACCGAUAAUACCUGAAAUCAAGAUGAUAAACUUGUCUUAAAUGGAGGUUGAUAAUGACGACUUGAACAAAGCUUGAACUUAAUCUAAACAGAGGUUGUCGAUGACGACUUGAACAAACCUUGAAUUUGAAGGCUGGUUGCUUUCAUGAAAUGAAUGCACAACUAAUGGCAUUAGGGAUUUAGUCGUACAAUUUAUGACAUUGGGGAUUUAGGGUGUAAUUUGCUUUGGGCUUGGGCUUAUU
rnacentral:lncRNA from 1 species